GAGCUCAUCAGCUAUCAGACAAGCCUUUAGCACGUGAGUUUUAGGAAACAUUUCAAAUCCAUGACAAAGGGUCUGGUUAAACAAAAUAUAUAUGGAGUUUUUAGAGUACGAUCGAGCUCUGGACCAUGAAACUUCUGGCUUUUCCUCAAAAUCAAAAUGACCACAAAAAGCAAGCAAUUUGAAUUAAUUCAGGACAUCAGAUUAGCUAUGACAACCCACUAAAGACACUCAUGAAAGAGGACUUCGAAAACUGCUUUAGAAAGUGACAAGCAAGAACAACGGG
rnacentral:lncRNA from 1 species